rnacentral:lncRNA from 1 species
GUUGUAUAUGCAUUGGCACAUCUCAUUUCCAUGGAGAAUAUUUGGCCUAACCCCUCAGUCACAGUCUAAUGACUUUGAAACUUAUCUUAGUUUACAUGUAUUAGUUUGUGAUUAGAUCAGUUAAAGAUGAACUGCUAAUGUUAAGUCAAUGAUAUUUGGUAUGUACAUUUAUUAUCAUUUGCAAGUAUCGUUUCCAUGGAAAUUAUAUAGCCCCACC